rnacentral:rRNA from 1 species
AACUGGUAGCGACGUGAGGAGGACAUUA